UACGAAGGGGGCUAGCGUUGCUCGGAGUCACUGGGCGUAAAGGGUGCGUAGGCGGGUCUUUAAGUCAGGGGUGAAAUCCUGGAGCUCAACUCCAGAACUGCCUUUGAUACUGAGGAUCUUGAGUUCGGGAGAGGUGAGUGGAACUGCGAGUGUAGAGGUGAAAUUCGUAGAUAUUCGCAAGAACACCAGUGGCGAAGGCGGCUCCCUGGCCCGAUACUGACGCUGAGGCACGAAAGCGUGGGGAGCAAACAGG
rnacentral:rRNA from 1 species